rnacentral:misc_RNA from 1 species
AAGGAGCAUUUCUUACCCGGCUUCGGUUGGGUCAGAGGCCAGUACACCGGCGAAUGUUCGGUGCUGGUUGCUCAUGGGUGGAACGUUGACUACUCGGCACGACAGGUUGAUCACUGCAAGUACUGCUUCGGCGUGGAACGUGGUGAGGGACAGGUCGGGUCGGGCACGCUGUUGGGUAUCUGAAGGUACGGGCUCGGUGAGUCUGUUCCUUUGGUUGCCGGCCCCAGUGCACUCACCUGUAAGGGUGGGGUGAUGGGUGGCUGGUCGUUG